GUAGAUAUAGUUUAACAAAAACUUUAGGUUGUGAGUCUAAAAAUAGAAUAUGAAAUUCUUAUCUACC
rnacentral:tRNA from 1 species